rnacentral:rRNA from 1 species
AUUGAACGCUGGCGGCAUGCCUUACACAUGCAAGUCGAACGGUAACAGGUCUUCGGAUGCUGACGAGUGGCGAACGGGUGAGUAAUACAUCGGAACGUGCCUAGUAGUGGGGGAUAACUACUCGAAAGAGUGGCUAAUACCGCACGAGAUCUACGGAUGAAAGCAGGGGAUCGCAAGACCUUGUGCUACUAGAGCGGCCGAUGGCAGAUUAGGUAGUUGGUGGGAUAAAAGCUUACCAAGCCGACGAUCUGUAGCUGGUCUGAGAGGACGAUCAGCCACACUGGGACUGAGACACGGCCCAGACCCCUACGGGAGGCAGCAGUGGGGAAUUUUGGACAGUGGGCGCAAGCCUGAUCCAGCAAUGCCGCGUGCAGGAUGAAGGCCUUCGGGUUGUAAACUGCUUUUGUACGGAACGAAAAGCCCUGGGUUAAUACCCUGGGGUCAUGACGGUACCGUAAGAAUAAGCACCGGCUAACUACGUGCCAGCAGCCGCAGUAA